CAGCGCGCACACGGCAGCGACGGUGACGGUUCACAGGCUUCGGGUUACUACCAUGCACCAAUAAGGGAGAUUAGAAACAGAAAAGGAGAUUACAGGGAGAUCAGAUAUAAGAGGUGUACCUUUCUGUGUUCCUUGUCACACAGCGUGCGCGCGCGCGCACACACACACACGCAUCUGUACACACAUGCAUGCUCAGAUAGCCGUACAUGCACACAUUCCUUGCUACUGCCAUCUAAAUAUAUGCACCGACACUCUAUGCCCUGCAACGUGGCCGGUGUGUUCGUCCUGAUCCUGCAUAAAGGCAGGCAGGUGUGUGCGAGAGUCCAGGCAGGAACAAACAGCCACGCACAAUUUAAUUGCAGCCAAACUCAAAGAGACAGUUAGCUUGCUGAAUUGUUUCAGUCAGCCAGGUGCCCCCCAGAAACUGGCAAUUCUGCAGCCAGUUGUGGAAUCCUGAAAUUAUUUUUAAAAUGUGCUGAAAAUGUACUUUAGGAAACAUAAUCUUGCUAUAUAUGGCCAGGUAAGGGCAAACCUGAAGGAUGAGUGUGGUUCCGUUUUUUAAUGUUUUACGUGUAGCCAUCUGACCACUUUUUAUUGGGUGACAUAUCAUAUGAGCACUUUGGUGUAGGCUUGGAAAAACUACAGCCAUAGGUAAGGCUGGAAAUGCCUUAAGAAUUAAGGGUGCUAAAAAUGGAUGCUGGAUAGUCCAGCAUGAAAGAUGGCAUACAGCUGUAGGUUUGAAAUAGGGAGAAAUACAUGUGAAUAUUUAUACAUGAAAGCCAUUGAAGAGGGCUGAGUCUUGCCCUGAGUAUCUGUGCAGGUAAGUCAUUCAUAAGAAAACUAAUUACCUGUGCAUGUACUUGGACUUGUUUAAUUGAAUAAGCUGCAUGUGUGCAUAUUUGCCGGGUUUUCUUUUUUUUUUUGUGGCUAUGUAAUUAUGGAUUGAGUCCUUUUAAAAAUGAUAGCUUUGGGGAAAUUGUAAAAAGUGGAAUAUAUGUACAUUUUUUCAAAAGCCAUCGUUCUGAAUAGCUAUAUUGCCAGGAAGGAGAAUCCAAUCCUAUAAACAAGAUUGCCAUUUCUUGAAAUCUAACUCAAGGCCUGUAUAUUUUAGGGCACACCAACUGAUUUAAUAUAGUCAACUGUUUUAUUUGUGUAAUUGUCUUCAUUUCAAAGGCAGGAUUUAAGGAUGCUUUUCAAUCAAGAUAAAGUGCCUUGUUUCCAGCCAUAUUAAAAUAAAAAUGAAACUCACUAAAUUUUGAAUGCAGCAGAUAAGGUACAACAUACAACAUGGUUGAAAAUGUCUUCCUUGCAGAAGGCUGUCCAUUGCUGUGUCUACACAUUUUAAAAUAGAUUUUUUUUUUUGCAAUAAGAAAUGCUAGAAAGCAAUAGGGUGGUGAAUGCCGCACUUCUCAGUCAAUGAGCACAAAAAUUCUUUAGAAAUCUUUGGAAUCACUUCACUUAUACAUACAUCAUCUCAAAAACACUGCCCCCUCCCCCCGCACUGUGUUUCAGCUAAUAUGAAGUUAAUUAGACCAUCAAACUUUGAGCCUUGAGCUAUGGGCAUUACAGCCCAUCUAGGGGUAUGUCAGGAAAGAAAAAGAAAAAAAAAUGUGUCGUUUCUUUUAUGACCAAACAGGUUAUACAGCUGGCAAUGCAUACAUGACAGAUGUGCAUAUUUGUAACCUUAAACAAACAGAAGCAGGGAGACAACUGUGUAUAUUACCUAGCAAGAGACAGCAGCAGACACUCGCCAAAAAAUAAAGACAGACAGAAAGGGACAAGAAAGACUUUGAUAGACAUAAUAAAAUAGCAAAAAAUGGGGAGGGGGGAACCAACAAAACGAUACAACCUGAAAUUUUCACGAAUUAAAAAAUGCAAAUAUACCUUUACAUAUGCAUCAGUAUUAAAAAUAAUACACGCUGGAACCAACAGGAGCGGGAGCAGGAGGAGGAGGUGGAGGAGGAGGAGGAGAGGUGGAGGAGGAGAGGAGGAGGAGGACGAGGAGGAGGAGGAGGAAAGAAUGGAGGCGCCCUGGAGCCCUGAUUAUGCAUGGGCUGGAGCUGCCUCCUCUAACCUGUUCUUCUCCGAGCCGGGCAGCCGGCGGUCCUCAGCCGCCCACAGAACAGGAGCCGAAACAACCGUUCCCGAAGGCUACAGCGUUUAUUUUUCUCUUUUGGGGGGUUUUGGCGGUUGUUUCAGGGGCUCGCCAACUGGCCCCUUUAAUUAAAAGCUUCAAUAAAAGGCGAUCGCGCCAGGAAUGCUCCCGCUCCAGAUAGCGCAGGAUUUGCAUAUUUUUUUAAUGCCCUAAUUUCCUUGAUGUAUGUAAAUGUAGCCGGACGUAGAGGGAGACAGGGAGCUGACGUCAAUGGACGUGACCUCGCAGCUAAACCUUGAACGUGAAGCCGGGAUGGGGGAAAACACGGAGCGGCAGCCGGCGGAGCCCGAGAGCGCGGGCGGCGGCCGCGGCGGCCGGGCUGGGGCGGAGGUGCCAAGGGGGCCAGUGCUGGCCCCGGGGGAGGACAAGCCGCUGCCUUCUCUCUGCACCGCGCGGCUUCCACCCUCGCCAGCCUGCCAGCUGCACACGCGGACGCUUGUCCUGCGCCUCCAGCCCCAUCAAAUACACGUCCUUUUGCUUCCCUCAGAAAAGCAACACACCCCAAAACAACAAACCAAAAACAACAGAUAAGCCAAAUCGAAUCCCCAGAUGUUUUAGGCCAAUGCUCGGGUAGCUUAUCAGAAAGAAGACUCUGACAAUGGAACAUAAUUUUUUUUUUUUUUGGCUUCUUUCCACAAGAAGAGGAGGGGGAGACCACAGACAACAGCAAAUCACUCCUAAAACACAACUACACGUGUUCCCUGUAGGGAGAGGUAAAUCGCCCAGCCGACUGGUGGGAGCUUCUCGUUUCGACGCCAAAAGGAGCCUGUUUGUGUGCUGCGGCCGCGCUGUGACUCUGGAUCUUGUCUUCUGGCCAGCGCUUCGAUUCCUGCCCAGCUGGAUUUGGGUGGCAACACUGCCUGGCGCAGGGAGAUCAAAUGAGACUGCAAAGAAGCAUAAAAUGAAUAGACAAUCCAACCAGCCAAAGACCGGGGGCAGCAGCAGGCCAGCAAGACGGCAUCUUCUCCUCCCCAGCCUAGAAGCCCUGUGAAAUCGAGGAUCUUCCCCCUAAAACACACAUACACAAGAUAUGUGCAAUCAAGCUGCCACCGCUUGGUAAAAAGCUCAUGGUGCCUAACCCAAAAGGAUCAGGAGCAGAUCCUUGAAUCAGCUGUCACUUCUAUAGAAUGGGAUUUUUUUUUUCCUUCCUCCUUAACCUGCGCUGGAAAUUGCCGCUGGCUUUAUACAUCUCUAUAGAGGGAGGCUAAAGAGUCUUGCGUGAGAAUGAAGCAAUUUACAAUGCAAAUAGAGGCCUGUGAAGGGACGGAUGCUGCUGCUCACUCCUAACAGCUUGCUGCACCUUAAUAGCUGGUUUUAUUUUCUGAUAUUAAUAGAUGAAUCGUUGGCUCAUGCUGCCGGAGAUUACUUGCUGAAAGGAAAAAAAAAAAAAAAAGUUCGGAAUAAACUCUGAAGGCAACAGAUCUCGUUUGGAUGUUUUAGCUGCACACACACAAACAGAAACCAGGUCAUAUUUGCAUAAAAGGAGGAAUCUUAAGCGCGGCAAGUAUCCCGGACGACGACUAUUCGGUACUGCCAGAAAGGAUCGGGAUCUGGAGUCUGGCAAGAGGAAGACAGAGGCAUGUGAGGGAAGCGAGUUGUUAUCUUUGGUUAUCUAGCUGUAUGAGUGUAUUGGUCUUCAUAAAGCUAGAUAACCGAAAGUAAAAACUCCUUCAAGAUCGCCGGGGAGCGUGUGAGAAUGAAAGACUACAGCCAAGAGACAGUAAAAACAAAGGUCAGGAAUACUUAUUGAAUCUAACUUUUUGUUUUGCUUUUUCCUUAUGAUUAAAGGUGGAUGAGAGAAAAUUAAGUGCACAUAUAUCCUGAAAUAUAAAGGUGCCAGAUAUCUUGAGAGGGGUUGUUACAGCUGCAAAGGAGAAUUGUAUAGUGCUAAUGAGUAAAGAUGCAUGUGCAAUUUGUUCUCUUUUAAGGUAAAAGUUUAUAUGUGAGGGAUUUUGUUUUUCUUAGAAAGCUGUUGUAGAGAUGUCUGGUACCUAGUUUAGCAAUGAUUCAUAAUAUGUAGACUUGGGCAGUUCCUUUCUGAGGCCCCUCCUUCUCAAAAUUUGCAGAUUGUGCUUGGAAACUACUUUUCAUGUAUUUAGGCUGUAUGUCAAAUUAUAUGAAAUUAGACUUUAAAAAAAGUUUAUACUGGAAAAGUUAAUAAUUUAUAUCUACUGAGGACUUAGAGCUAGCAGGGAAAAUGAAAAAAAAAAAAAAGCAAAGGCUGAUUUUUUAUUCUUCUAUUCAAAAUACAAGGACAGAUGCUUCUCUGUUCCAAGAGGGUUUCCUUGAGGAAGCUACUGAAGCAGAAAGACAUGAUGGAGACGAGAUCGCCUCCCCUCUUGUCAAAGUGUUAAAAAAAUGUUCUGUCUUACUCUGCGCCUAGCAUUGGAAAUGAAAGUGACAUUUACGCCACAACCCACGUGUGCGCCUCCUCUCUUUUUGUUUAAGGAUGAUCAGGUCUAUCCAGGAAACAGCUCUGGCAUCCCAAACUGAAAUAAUUAGGACGUAUAUAGACCUGACAAAAAUGGAAAGGGGGUGGGGAAUCUGAGGGUCUGUCUUGCCUAAUUGAUUCCGCUAAACGGAAUGCAGGAGAUGUGAACGGCAGGACGCUCCGAUUCCCACGCUCGGGGGCAAGUGGUAAAGCGGGCCCGGCAGCCUAUGACAGACAGCCCUGUUGGGGGGUGGGGGUAUGAAAAAAACAUCAAGUGCACACACCAUACUCAUCUCCAUCGCUUAAGAAAGUAAAGGCAUUUCCCACCCACAGCCAUCUGCAGCUUCCCAAAUGGCAACACCAACUGGUCUGUAGCUGCUGCAUACUGUCUGCUUCUGUUAAUUUUUUAACCCGUGUUUAAUUUGGCUGUAAUUAAGUUUGGCUUUCUUCUUUGGUUGAGAUUUUCAAUAUUCAAGGAAAGCUAGUAGAAAGCAAUUGCAAAAAAUUCCCAUGACUGCCUGCCCCUCACGUCAAAUUCUCAGUCUGUACUUAUGGCCUUGUGACCCCCUUUUGGCUUUUGUUUUGAGUGGGUUAUGUUUUAAAAUACUUGUCUCUAUAUUACAGUCAUUAUUAUGACUUCAUCAGGUUGUUUACAUCUUACUGUGAUACAUCUAGGAACUUGGCCUAAUUAUGCUAAUAGAUGCACACUGGAAGUAAAACUAUAAAGUCAUUAACUUAGAAAAUUGAUUGCAAUAACAAUAUGAUAAAAGGUUGUAGGGAAUAAUCUCAGCUAGAUGGUUCUGAACAGCCAUUUUUUAAAAGCCUAAAAAUAAUUAUGUCCAACAGAAACUUUGCAGCUUUAGAGGUCCUCAUUGUAGUCUUUUCCUAAAACUCCUUAGGUUUUUCCACAAGUCACCAAACAAUCAUUUGUGUAGGCAUUUAACACAUAAAUACAGCCACUGCAAUAAGAAAAUGUCCAAAAUGGCCUGUUAUCUUCCACAUGGCCUAGAUUAUUGACAAUCCCAAAUAUACAGUUUUUCUUCAAAAGCAGUACAUUUUCCUUUGUAGCUUCAACUCCUUAUAAGACCUCAGACUGGAGAAGCCUGUAAAACCACUGUGAGUUUCAGUUAGAAACUCUGAGAGACUUUAUUAACGGUAAAUUCUCAAUUUGGCUGCUGAACACGUGCCAAAGUUUUACUACUGUAGUGACCGUUGAGAAGACCCUUGUUUAUUUACAUUUGAAGCACUGUUUGUGCAAACAACCUUUCAUUGUUAAGUGCCUGUAUUCCUUUCAUUUACUUCAUGUCCAGGGGUGCUAUUUACCUAGAACCAUUGUCUACUACAAUUAACAUUUACAUUACAAAGUGUGUGGUUUUCUUUCUCAAGGAGGUUCAAUUAAGGCAAUAAGAUGUUUGCUGGGGAAACCUAUUGUUUACUGAAAGCACUCAAUGGAGUCAAAUUACUGAAGCUUUUGCCUACAUCUUGGUCUUUUAUGUAAAUAUGUUAAAUAUAACAUCUAAGGAAAAUAAACAAUAUUAUAAUUAUGUGUUUGCCAUUGUCAUAUCAAACUUGCUUUGUAUCAUACUAAUGUUACAUAACUUAUCGAUCAAUAAAAAUACAUUUCAAUGUUA